rnacentral:rRNA from 1 species
CCCGCUGAACUUAAGCAUAUCAAUAAGCGGAGGAAAAGAAACUAACAAGGAUUCCCCUAGUAACUGCGAGUGAAGAGGGAAAAGCUCAAAUUUAAAAUCUGGCAGUCUUUGAUUGUCCGAGUUGUAAUUUAGAGAAGUGUUACCCGUGUUGGCCCGUGUACAAGUUUCCUGGAAUGGAACGACAUAGAGGGUGAGAAUCCCGUCUUUGACACGGACUACCAAUGCAUUGUGGUAUGCUCUCGAAGAGUCGAGUUGUUUGGGAAUGCAGCUCUAAAUGGGUGGUAAAUUCCAUCUAAAGCUAAAUAUUGGGGAGAGACCGAUAGCGAACAAGUACCGUGAGGGAUAGAUGAAAAGAACUUUGGAAAGAGAGUUAAACAGUACGUGAAAUUGCUGAAAGGGAAACGCUUGAAGUCAGUCGCGUUAGGCGGGGAUCAGCCUUCCUUUUGGCUGGUGUACUUACUGACCGACGAGUCAGCAUCAGUCUUAACCGGCGGAUAAGAGCUUGAGGAAGGUGGCAGCUUCGGCUGUCUUAUAGCCCCUAGUCGCAUACAGUGCUAGGAAUUGAGAAACUCAGCACGCUGCAAGCCCGGGUUCCGACCACAUUCGUGCUUAGGAUGCUGGCAUAAUAUCUUUAAGCUACCCGACUUGAAUCACGAAAU